UUUCCAGCCGCCGCGGUAAUACGAAGGGUGCAAACGUUAUUCGGAAUCACUGGGCGUAAAGGGUGCGUAGACGGCUUGUUAAGUUCGUUGUUAAAGGCUCCGGCCCAACCGGAGUAUUGCGAUGAAAACUGGCGAACUAGAGGGUGAGAGAGAGAAGUGGAAUUCCCGGAGUAGCGGUAAAAUGCGUGGAUCUCGGGAGGAACACCAAUGGCGAAGGCAGCUUCUUGGCUCAUAUCUGACGUUGAGGCACGAAAGCGUGGGGAGCAAACAGGAUUAGAAACCCCGGUAGUCC
rnacentral:rRNA from 1 species